UGGGGAAUAUUGCACAAUGGGCGCAAGCCUGAUGCAGCCAUGCCGCGUGUAUGAAGAAGGCCUUCGGGUUGUAAAGUACUUUCAGCGGGGAGGAAGGCGAUAAGGUUAAUAACCUUGUCGAUUGACGUUACCCGCAGAAGAAGUACCGGCUAACUCCGUGCCAGCAGCCGCGGUAAUACGGAGGGUGCAAGCGUUAAUCGGAAUUACUGGGCGUAAAGCGCACGCAGGCGGUCUGUCAAGUCGGAUGUGAAAUCCCCGGGCUCAACCUGGGAACUGCAUUCGAAACUGGCAGGCUAGAGUCUUGUAGAGGGGGGUAGAAUUCCAGGUGUAGCGGUGAAAUGCGUAGAGAUCUGGAGGAAUACCGGUGGCGAAGGCGGCCCCCUGGACAAAGACUGACGCUCAGGUGCGAAAGCGUGGGGAGCAAACA
rnacentral:rRNA from 1 species